AUUGAACGCUGGCGGCAGGCCGAACACAUGCAAGUCGAGCGAGAGGCGGAAGGGUGAGUAAUGUAUGGGGAUCUGCCCGAUAGAGGGGGAUAACUACUGGAAACGGUGGCUAAUACCGCCUACUAUCGGAUGAACCCAUCUGGGAUUAGCUAGUAGGUGGGGUAAAGGCUCACCUAGGCGACGAUCUCUAGCUGGUCUGAGAGGAUGAUGAGCCACACUGGGACUGAGACACUGCCCAGACUCCUACGGGAGGCAGCAGUGGGGAAUAUUGCAUACUGGGCGCAAGACUGAUGCAUCCAUGCCGCGUGUAGGAAGAAGGCCUUAGGCGUGUAAAGCACUUUCAGCGGGGAGGCGUUACUGGCGGAAGAAGCACCGGCUAACUCCGUGCCAGCAGCCGCGGUAAUUC
rnacentral:rRNA from 1 species